rnacentral:lncRNA from 1 species
GUGGAUCCAGGGCCUCCAACCGCCCCAGCUGAUCUGCCAGGAAAGGGGUCCCUGCUGCCCGGGGGCUGCCUCGGCUGGCGCCACGUGGAGAUGAAGAGGAGACAACUCACUGGAGCCCGUGGCACAGCCUGAGGGAGACAACUCACGGGAGCCCGUGGCACAGCCUGAGGGAGACAACUCACUGGAGCCCGUGGCACAGCCUGAGGGAGACAACUCACGGGAGCCCGUGGCACAGCCUGAGGGGUCU